rnacentral:lncRNA from 1 species
AAACAGCAUAAAGCUGCUGUUGCAUCACAUUAGUGAUGAAGAUUGGAAGUAAUAAAUAAAAAAUGGCUAUGUUUAUCCAAGACUGCACAUUACUUCACUAAAAUGCUCUAUGUUUAUUCUAUCCUUUCUCGCUUAUCGUCAUCCUGUCAACACAGAAAAUGACCAGAAAAAUGAAGAUGCGAAACAAAGAUGGUCGGGUAUUUCACCACAAAGUUGGUUGUUAGUUUUUGAUGAGUUGUCACAAAGGGGUGGGUAAACAUAAACCCUUUCAAGACAUUUUUAAUUCCU